ACAGGCCUUUUAUAGGCUGUCAGUUUUAUACUUCGCAACAUCAUAUGCAAAUAAAGUACAACAGAAGUUGACCAACCAGGAACAAGUGUUGUAGAAAUAGACCAAUCAGGAGUGAGUGCCAUGCAAAUGAAGUACUACAAAUGAGCCAAUCAGAAGCUAGGGAGGUGGACCAAUCAGAAGUGAGAGUAGUACCCAAUCAGGAGUGAAGGAAAUAACCAAUCAGAAGUAAGCUCAGGGAACCAAUAGAAUUCUAGGUGUAAGUUAGCCGCUUUAGAGGCAAAAAGUGAGAUAGAGGCUCUGGACCUGGGAACCGGAUGGUGCUGGGAGGAGGAGCGGCCCUGCCUAGGGGUCCUGCCGGUCUUUUUAUGGGGCUUCCCGCCUCACCACUUCUUAGUGUGUUUGCAUUGCCUGCCUCCCUCAGGGUGCGGCUCAGCGCCCGGCAGGCCUCCGUGAGCCUGCCCCAGCGUGAGCGCCCCAUCACCCAUGUUGGCCUUGAGGAGACGGGGACUCCCUCGCUGCUCCCACCGCUUCAGACCCAGAGGAAGCCCCGCCCCCUGCGUGGCCACGCCCACAGCCAGGCCCGAGGGGCCAGGAGCGCCAGCCCGGAAGUGGGGGGAUUCAAGCCAAAGGGAGGAAGGGGAGCCGCCGUCCUCCCUGCGGUGCGUCACUGCUGCUCUCAGCUGCCUGGCGUGCGCUGUGGGAGCUGUCCCGCGUCGACGGCUGACAGCUCGCCUUCCUCCUCCCCGGCCUCGCCCUUCCUUCCCCUCGUUCACAGCGCGGCCGUGGCGCCUCCCGAAGGAGCGCUAGCAGUUUGCUGUCACUUUAGAAGGAGCAGGAGACGAGACCCCAGAGACUCUGGGAGACUAAAGAUAGCCACGUGUGGCUGGCGGCCACUGUAUUUUUUCAGCUACUGUGUUGAGGUCUGGCUCACAUACGAGCAGCCGUGCAUAAUUGACGUACACAACUUGGGAAGUUUAGAGGUAAGCAUACACCUGUGAAGCCACACCACAACCUGUGCCAUGAAUACAUCCAUCACCUCCUGAAGCUUCCUCCUGUCCUGUACUUAUUACCCCCUUCUGUGUGUGACGAGAACGCUCGACGUAAGGUCCAGCGGGUACCGAGCAGCAUGGCUUGGGGGAGAACUGCCACUGGAUCCUGGAUGUCGUUUUUCUUCUAAUAAAUUUCAUUUCAUGAAGAUGAAAAGGAGUCACUGCAAAAUUUCAAAACAGAGUAAUUACAUGGGUAGACUUAGGAGAAACACUCCUUACACGUUUGGAAGCAAGGUAAUCUGGCCAGUUUUUAACGUGUAUUCACUUUCCACGAUCUUCUUAGGGAAGGUGACAAAAAAGAAGCGUAUAAAACAAACUGCUGUAAAAUUCAUCUUUGGAAAUGAUAUGACAGUGGAAACUACCUAACAAUUAGCUCACUUACAAGCCAGUAAGUAAAGACGGCCGUCGCAGUGUGGGAACUGAGGAGAUGGCGUUAGUAAGCCAUUCCCUAGGGCUCGCAUGCAAGUGGCCAGUUAAACGCGUAAGCCUGUGUUCCACCUCCCUGGCAUCCAGAAAAGCUUCAGUGAAAAUGAGAUUCCCAUUUUUCAACAACCAAAUUAGUACCAUUUUGUUUUGAAGGCAGUAUAUUGUUGAGGAUGUAGAUAAACAACUGCUCACCUUACCAUCUUAGGAAAACAAAUUCGUACAUUUUUUCUGGAAGCCAGUUUGGCAGUAUUUUGGUAAAAGACUUGAAAAUGUUUAAGGCCUGUCAGCCAGCUAUUCCAUGUCUGGAAAUGUGCCAUAAGGAAGUAAUUGGGGAUUUUUCCGAAGAUUUAUGUACAAAGCUGUCUAUGUCUGUAUUACAUAUGAGUGAAAAAACUGUCAAAAAAACCCCACCUAACUAUGGUUCCCCAUAGAUUUAUUUACUAAAUUAUGAUACAUCUACACAACUGAACAAUACAUAGCCAUUAAUUGUCACGUUGUGCACAAACACCUGCAUGGGGGAAAUGUGUGAUAUAUUUUUUGCUGGAAAAAUACCAAAUCCCUAUUAAAAUGUAAAAUUUAAGUUGAAUAUAAAAAAUGUAUACAUAGAAAAGAUACUUGAGGGCUGUUCGCCAAAGUGUUAACACUGUCACUUAAUAGUGUGAUUAGGGGUUAUCUGGUUUUUUUCUUUAUGUUCCUCUGUAUUUUGUAAUUUUCUACAAUGAAAAUAUAUGACAUUUACAACAGAAAAGGAUUUUUUUAAGUUGAGAUUGUUAAUUAUGUGGGAAGAGUUCAGCUGUGAUAGAAAUUUGAAAGUAUGUAAUUGCCACACGUCUGCUGUGCUAGACAAAAUAAUUAAAGUGGUGGCAGACAUGUGCCAGUCCAGGCUUGUGGCCAGCAGAGCGUUUGGAGAGGCGAAGUGACUUUGGCGUCCCUUCCGGAAGCUCUUCCCUGCUGUGGGCAGCGGCAGGAGGGCUUUUGUUGAUCAGGAUAAAGUGUUUUCGCCCAGAGGUAGCAGCGAGCAGGAAGAUGGUCUUGCAGCCAGGUACGUGGAUGGUUUAACUAGACAGAAGGGAUUUCCCCUUGUUAGGGUCUCCCUAACACUUCAGCCCAGGUGCGUCUGAAAAAGAAGAGGGCGGCAAGGGAAGUUUCAACCAGAGACAGAGAACCGGAAGCUUCAGCUAAUCAGACAUUCUUCCGCCUUUGAUUCGCAGGGGAAAAUGGGAAAUCCCCCAAAAGUGACUCUAAACUGGGACAAGCUCACAACGAACUUUCAGGCCAGUUCUAAAUGUUUCUGAAAAUUCUCCGAUUCUGACUAGUCUGCAGACUUCCUACAUCAACAUUUGUCAUUCUAUCCAGUGAAAAUAAUUCUUAGCAGUGAAUCUGAAAUUUCAGAAGGAUUUUCAUUA